UACGAAGGGGGCUAGCGUUGUUCGGAAUUACUGGGCGUAAAGGGCGCGUAGGCUGUGCUGUAAGUCAGGCGUGAAAGGCCCGGGCUCAACCUGGGAACUGCGCUUGAUACUGCGGCGCUGGAAUGCAGGAGAGGAUGGCGGAAUUCCCAGUGUAGAGGUGAAAUUCGUAGAUAUUGGGAAGAACACCGGUGGCGAAGGCGGCCAUCUGGCCUGCAAUUGACGCUGAGGCGCGAAAGCGUGGGGAGCAAACAGG
rnacentral:rRNA from 1 species